UCUCGAUUGGUCUAGUGGUCAGGAUACCUGCUUGUCACUACAGGCAAGUUCGCAGGUGGCCGGGGUUCGAUUCCCCGAUCGAGAG